rnacentral:tRNA from 1 species
AGCAGCGUGGCUCAGUGGAAAGAGCCCGGGCUUGGGAGUCGGGUCAUGGGUUCGAAUCCCAGCUCUGCCA